GACGAACGCUGGCGGCGUGCUUAACACAUGCAAGUCGAACGAAGAGCGAUGGAAGCUUGCUUCUAUCAAUCUUAGUGGCGAACGGGUUAGUAACGCGUAAUCAACCUGCCCUUCAGAGGGGGACAACAGUUGGAAACGACUGCUAAUACCGCAUACGAUCUAAUCUCGGCAUCGAGGAUAGAUGAAAGGUGGCCUCUACAUGUAAGCUAUCACUGAAGGAGGGGAUUGCGUCUGAUUAGCUAGUUGGAGGGGUAACGGCCCACCAAGGCGAUGAUCAGUAGCCGGUCUGAGAGGAUGAACGGCCACAUUGGGACUGAGACACGGCCCAGACUCCUACGGGAGGCAGCAGUGGGGAAUCUUCCGCAAUGGACGAAAGUCUGACGGAGCAACGCCGCGUGAGUGAUGACGGCCUUCGGGUUGUAAAGCUCUGUUAAUCGGGACGAAAGGCCUUCUUGCGAACAGUUAGAAGGAUUGACGGUACCGGAAGAGAAAGCCACGGCUAACUACGUG
rnacentral:rRNA from 1 species